rnacentral:tRNA from 1 species
UAGGGCUUAUUUUCGGAGAAGGCGGAGCUUCAGCAAGCUCUUCGGAGAAAAUCAGCCCUACC